rnacentral:rRNA from 1 species
UACGUAGGGGGCAAGCGUUGUCCGGAAUUAUUGGGCGUAAAGAGCGUGUAGGCGGUCCGGUAAGUCAGCUGUGAAAGUCAAGGGCUCAACCCUUGAAUGCCGGUUGAUACUGUCGGGCUAGAGUCCGGAAGAGGCGAGUGGAAUUCCUGGUGUAGCGGUGGAAUGCGCAGAUAUCAGGAGGAACACCAAUAGCGAAGGCAGCUCGCUGGGACGGUACUGACGCUAAGGCGCGAAAGCGUGGGGAGCGAACGGG